GCCCCUAAGCUAUGUUCCCAGCCUGAAUAAAAUGAUUAUUUUUUUUUAAGAUUUGAAACAAUAUUUUCUUACUCUAGGGCGGGCUGCUGGUUUCUGAGAGUCUGCAUACAAGAGCUUCUUCAGUGCCCGAAGCUUUGCAGUUUUAUGAGAUUCCAUUUGUCAAUUCUUGAUCUUAGAGCACAAGCCAUUGGUGUUUUGUUCAGGAAAUUUUUGCCAGUGCCCGUGUGUUCGAGAUGCUUCCCUACUUUUUCUUCUAUUAGUUUGACUGUAUCUGGUUUGAUGUGGAGGUCCUUGUUCCACUUGGACUUAAGCCUUGUACAGGGUGAUAAGCAUGAAUCGAUCUUCAUUCUUCUACAUGCUGAACUCCAGUCGAACCAGCACCAUUUGCUGAAAAUGCUAUCUUUUUUCCAUUGGAUGGUUUUGGCUCCUUUUUGGGGGGAGGGUGGUACGGAGGGGAGGAUGGGGAGUGGAAGCCCAUAUAGAAGGGGAGG
rnacentral:lncRNA from 1 species